UGAUUUUCCUAUGUGUACUUUCAUAUAGUUAUAUUGUUUAUUUUGAAACAUGGGAAAUUCUUAUGUUUAGCUAAUAUGGCAUAAAGUGCCCGUGAGCUUAUGCCAUGAGGCGGAGUCCAUCGUCCCCUGUGUCGAUUACCCGUCUGCCAUCUGUCCGUCGUUUGCUCUUUCGUCACUACUUUGAAAUAAUUCUUCUCAGCAAUGUAUUAUCAUACAUAUCGGUAAGCAUUAUGCUGAUGAUGAGCUUGACUUACAUUAUAUGUCAAAGAGAUCAAAGUGUCGCAAAAAACACUUCUCCUAAAAAACCUUAGCACCUGCAGUCUUUAAAUUACCGUGUAACCUGCUGAAGUCAACAGCAAAAAGCAUGGCCCUAAUAAACGACUUUUGACAACGCAUAAUAUCAAAGUAAAGAAAUUCACGGGUAAAAUGUCUCAAAUAUUAGAAAUAAAGUCUACCAUCCUAUAACUCAGUGGUAGUAGAGGAAUGGUAUAUCGCAUAAAUAGCUUGCUGAUGUAAAAGGACACUAUAAACUAUGUUCGCACAUGUUUAUGGCGAAAAGAGUUAAAACUGUGUAAAAAUCAAACAAAUAAACCUUAUUAGACCAAGCGUUAUUGUUGAAAUUCUGAAGUUAAUAGAAAUCUUAAUUUGCCACCAUGAUCCCAAAUUUGUGUUUUCAAAUUAACAGGUCAACGAUGCAGGCCCAUGGACAUGUUUUAAUCAUUAUUGAUAUUUUUUUAUAUUAUACUGUUGUUGUGAUAUUGAUGUUGUGAGAUAUCAAUUUGUUGAUGUCUUGUGACAAAUUCCGAGAUUGGUUUUAUUCUUACCAAUGGGAAAGUACACAACUGGAUGGAUCUGACGUUGAAAAUGGGAAACAAUCCGGACAACGGUUCGGGUGCAAGAUAGACGUCUUGGUUACAUGGAAGACGGAGCAACAUUAGAACGAUACAUUUCCUGGGGCUCCGUAUGACGUCACGUUGAGUUUUAGAGAAACAAUCACCUUCAUGCUGCCAUGCAGACGAAACAGACAAAUUAAAUUAUAAGCUUUACGUAAUUAACGUUCACUGAAGUGAGUGAAACAUCAAAAUUAGAACCAGCUGCUUAAAGUGAUGUCAUCACCAAGUAGAACCGCGGCUUGAAAUGACGUCAUCACCAAGAAGAGCCGCGGUUUGAAGUGACGUCAUCACCAAGAAGAUCCGCGGCUUGAAGUGACGUCAUCAACAAGAAGAGCCGCGGCUUGAAGUGACGUCAUCACCAAGAAGAGCCACUGUGUGAAAUUAAAUCACAAUCAUCAAUGGAGCCCCAUGGUUCAGUUGUGUUAAGAUUGAUUCAUGUUUCAUUUUUUUUUUAUAUAUAUUUUUUUAAUAUAUCUUUUUUCUUAAUUUGUACAGACAUCGUUGAUUUUCUAUGUAUGUUAUAAUAAGAGUGAUAAUUUUGAGUCCAAUGUCAUGAACAGUGUUUUUUUCGAUUUUAAUUAUAAUGAAAAUAUAAAAUUCCGCUUUCAUAACAUAGAUCCUCAUCUCCC